rnacentral:rRNA from 1 species
UCCAGACUCCUACGGGAGGCAGCAGUGGGGAAUAUUGCACAAUGGGGGAAACCCUGAUGCAGCGACGCCGCGUGAGUGAAGAAGUAUUUCGGUAUGUAAAGCUCUAUCAGCAGGGAAGAUAAUGACGGUACCUGACUAAGAAGCCCCGGCUAACUACGUGCCAGCAGCCGCGGUAAUACGUAGGGGGCAAGCGUUAUCCGGAUUUACUGGGUGUAAAGGGUGCGCAGGUGGCAGGGCAAGUCAGAUGUGAAAGCCCGGGGCUCAACCCCGGUAUUGCAUUUGAAACUGUCCGGCUAGAGUGCAGGAGAGGUAAGCGGAAUUCCUAGUGUAGCGGUGAAAUGCGUAGAUAUUAGGAGGAACACCAGUGGCGAAGGCGGCGUACUGGACUGUAACUGACACUGAGGCACGAAAGCGUGGGGAGCAAACAGGAUUAGAUACCCCGGUAACG